AUUUUGGACUCAUCCUCUGUUGCUGCUGUUGCUGCUGCUGUUGUAUCCGCUACUAUUGCCGUGCACUCGGAUUCUUUGCAAAAUGCAGGCUGCAUAUCGCAUGGAGCAGGCCCCAGAGACUGACAUAGGUAUGUCUACAGAAAAUAGACCAUGCUAUGCAGAUGUAGAUGCUCCCCAGCUCCGGAAAAAGCGUGAGGGAUGUCUUUCUAGAGAGCCUGCUGUAGAGCUAGAGCUGGAGGGUGUUUAUGGGUACGUGUAUAAUGUUAAAUACUAUGAUGGCACGGUCACGAUGAUUUCUAGAAUCAAGGCCCAAGACAAGCUAGGAGGGGGUGUUGGUGAAACAGUUGAUGAUGAGGCUGUUGUGGGGGGUCGACAUGGGUGUAUGUCUGUAAAAGACUGGCAGCAGUUUCAAUCAAUUGUCUGCAUAGAUAUUGAACAACCAGGUUUUCUAGAAUCUCUAUACUAUGUUCAGUGGUAUAGUACAACAGAGCCUAAAAUACACCAUCUCACGGCAGAUCGGUACAACAGACGCCCUGACGAUUUCAUUUUUUAAAAUGUUUGUGAAGACAGAGAGUAUGUGGUAGCUCAAAGAGGCCGCCGAGGAUGGAGAGAGCAUCCGUACCCUCUUACCAUUGAAGAGUUUAAUAUAUGGUUCCCCCUCGUGUUCUUUGUUCAGUGGUGUGACUGGCCCGCUCUGCAAAAAGUGUUUAGUCAGAUUGACAAAGCUAUCCAGAGAGACAGCGUCAGCAAGGCUUACUGGGCUGUUAGAAAACACCUUGUUUACGACAAUACACCGAGCGGUGUGGAACCUGGUAUAUCUACUACCAUGUGUAGACCGAAAAUAAUUCACCCCUCAACCAUCUAAAUGAAUGACAGACUCGGAAAUCUCAGGGUCCCAGGCGGGCUGGACUCCUCCCAAUUCUCCUUCACCUCCAGCUCUGAUGGUUCACACCCCACCUCAGACUCGCCUCCCGGACCGACGGCCACACAGGAAGAAGAAGAAAAGAAGUUCUGUGAACCUCACGAGGUGUUUAAGGAUACUGCACGGUUCCUAGAAUACCUUAGAAUCGGGGUGCUACAUCUGUUGAACAAGGUCUGGGUUAAAUAUAAUAUAGAGAUCUGCUACGGCUGU